UCCCCCAGCUGGUUGGAAAAAAGCUUGACAGGAGAGGAUAGACCGGUGGAUGUGUCUCAACGUGACUGUUUACUGAUAAAAUAACCUUUUUAUAUUCGACGCUGUAUGUGUUUCUAUACGUGAAAAGAGGCGGUGGGACCGUAUCUAUCCCGUCGGGAAACCGAGUAACGUUUUUCGUCGAAAUAAAUCCUCGUUUUGUUUAAUCCAGUUGAUCAGACGUGUUGUUGAUUUCAUCUCGCCGAGCCGACUGUCUAGUCAUUUUUUUUCUGAUAAAUAAGAGCGAUCUCUGUGGAUUAAAUUGAACUACAAAUACGAUGAGUACCUUGAACUCUGUGGAUCGAGUUGAACUGUGCGACAGCCUUUUAACAUGGAUCCAGACGUUUGGAUUGGAGGCACCAUGCAGAACAGUGGACGAUCUCACAAGUGGGAUCGUCAUGGCCCAGGUCCUACAAAAAAUAGACAUUGUGUAUUUCACUGACAACUGGAUCGGUAGGAUCAAGCCCGAGGUGGGAGAUAACUGGCGGCUAAAGAUCAGUAAUCUAAAGAAGGUGUUGAAAGGUAUACUGGACUACAACCAGGAGGUCCUUCAACAGCAGAUCAAUGACUUCACCCUGCCAGACAUCAACCUGAUAGGAGAACACUCAGACGCUGCAGAGCUGGGCAGGAUGCUGCAACUCAUACUAGGCUGUGCUGUCAACUGUGAGCAGAAACAAGAAUACAUCCAGACCAUAAUGAUGCUGGAGGAAUCUGUUCAACACGUUGUCAUGACAGCCAUUCAAGAGUUGAUGAGCAAAGAGUGCCCUGUAAUGGGAGGAAACGACUCGUACGCUGACAUCGAUAGACAGCUGAAGAAGACGGUGGAGGAUUUGAACGAGGCUCUAGCCACCAAGGAGGAGAUCGCACAGAGAUGUCACGAGCUGGACAUGCAGGUGGCAGCGCUACAGGAGGAGAGGGGUAGUCUCCUGGCUGAGAACCAGAUCCUCAUGGAGCGUCUCAACCAGUCUGACUCCAUAGAAGACCUGAACAGCCCUGUAGGACGUAGACACCUGCAGCUGCAGACACAGCUAGAACAUCUCCAGGAGGAGACCUUCAGGCUGGAGGCAGCGAAGGAUGACUAUCGGAUCCACUGUGAGGAGUUGGAGAAGGAGCUGACAGAGCUGAGAGGACAGAAUGAAGAGCUCACCUCCCUGGCUGACGAGGCCCAGACACUGAAGGACGAAAUGGAUGUACUCAGACACUCGUCAGACAAGGUGUCCAAGCUGGAGGUCAUGGUGGAGUCGUAUAAGAAGAAGCUGGAGGACCUGGGAGAUCUGAGGAGACAGGUCAAGCUGUUGGAGGAGAAGAACACUCUGUACAUGCAGAACACUGUCAGUCUGGAGGAAGAAGUACGCAAGGCCAACACCACGAGAGGACAGCUGGAGUCCUAUAAGAGACAGGUGGUAGAGCUGCAGAACAAGCUGUCUGAGGAGUCCAAAAAGACAGACAAGAUGGAGUUUGAAUACAAGAGACUCAAGGAGAAGGUGGACUCUCUCCAGAAAGAAAAGGAUCGGAUGAGGUCAGAGAGAGACUCCCUAAAGGAGACCAUUGAGGAGCUGCGUUUUGUUGAGGCUCAGGAAGGACAACUGUCUACAGGCAUGGUUCCACUGGACAGUAACGAGGGCUCUGAUUCGCUGGCUGCAGAGAUCGUCACCCCAGAGAUCCGAGAGAAGCUGAUCAGACUGCAGCAUGAGAAUAACAUGCUGAAGCUGGCCCAGGAGGGUUCUGAUAAUGAGAAGAUCGCUCUGCUGCAGAGUUUACUGGAGGACGCUAACAGUAGGAAGAACGAACUGGAGACAGAAAACAGACUGGUGAACCAGAGACUGAUCGAGGGUCAAAGUCAGGUGGAGGAGCUGCAGAGGAGUCUUCAGGAACAGGGCUCCAAAGCAGACGAUUCAAUCAUUCUGAAGAAGAAAAAUGAUGCUCACAUGGAGAAAUUACGGGAAGUGAACAGUGAACUGCAGAAGAAGUGUGCGCACAUCGAUGACUUGGAGCCCAAGUACACCUCUAGUUCCCAGAAAGUAGAGGAACUGGAAGAGGCGUUAAAGAAGAAGGAUGAAGACAUGAAGCAAAUGGAGGACAGAUAUAAGAAGUACCUGGAGAAGGCGAAGAGUGUUAUCCGGACCCUGGACCCUAAGCAGAACCAGGGCUCGGCACCAGAGGUCCAGACCCUGAAGAACCAGCUGCAGGAGAGGGAAAGGAUGCUGCACUCUCUGGAGAAAGACUACGACAAGACCAAGGCUCAGAGAGACCAGGAGGAGAAACUCAUAGUGUCUGCCUGGUACAACAUGGGCAUGGCUCUACAGAAGAAGGCAGCAGAGGACCGUCUGGCCAGUACGGGUUCCGGACAGUCCUUCCUGGCCCGCCAGAGACAGGCUACCAGCACACGCCGCUCCUACCCCGGAUACCCGGGACCCCAGUCCGCCACCGCCAGGUAGACAGGGCGCCGUGACUCUUCAACCCGACCUUUGACCUCCGACCCUUCCAGGCCAGGUACCACCACGGCCAGUGAUGACAUUACAUGACCAGCGCAGGCAGGGGUGAUGGGCGGGUGCAUGACCAUGGCUUAAUAAUGAGUCGAGCUGAAAAUAACCCUUCAUCAAUUCAACACUAACCCUCAACUCUAACGGAGGACGGGCCGGGCGGGCCCAGAUUAUGCCCAGGACUGGGGGGGUGUAAGGGCUCUCUACAGACCCAGACGGCGCCGCCCUCUCAGAGGCCACCCUAACCUACCGCCACCCCCCUCCUCCUCCUCCUCCUUCACUCACAGACCUGCAUCUGCUUGCGAACCUCUAUCGUCAUGACAUACUCUGAGACAACAACAGUAGUCUCUAGUGGGGUAACGGGGAGAGCUGGAGCUGAGGAUAAACAAAAACAAAAACAUUUGAAAGAUUCUUCAUGCUGUGUCCAAGGUCAAGGAAACCUCUUGUUCUAAAUGUGUGGUGCAAAGCGAGGACUACAUGGAAGACAGCGUUAUUCUUAGUGACCGGAUGGUUUUCUGUAGACGAUGACGAUGAUGAAGCGACUAGCAACACAUGGUCACUGUACUGUAAACCUGGUGUGUAUCUGUUGGGUGUUCCACCCACUUCUCUCUCUCUCUUUGUGUUUCACUGGGUCUGAGAGGAAAAGAGCAAUAUCAUUUAUUUCACUUGAUCCUCUAAUCAAAUGUGUAUAUACUGAGUGCACAAAACAUUAGGAACUCCUUCCUAAUAUUGAGUUGCAUCCCCCCCCUCCCCUUUAGCCUUAUCAGGGCAUGGACUCUACAAGGUGUCGAAAGCGUUUCGACAGGGAUGCUGGCCCAUGUUAACUCCAAUACUUCCCACUGUUGUUCCAAGUUGGCUGGAUGUCUUUUGGGUGGUGAACCAUUCUUGAUCCACACGGGAAACUGUUGAGAGUGAAAAACCCAGCAGGGUUAAAGUUCACGACUCAAACCGGUGCGUCUGGCACCUACUACUGUUCAAAGGAACUUCAAUAUUUAGUCUUGUCCGUUCACCCUCUGAAUGGCACACAUUCACAAUCCAUGUCUCAAUUGUCUCAAGGCUUAAAAAUCCUUCUUUAACCUGUCUCCUCCCCUUCAUCCACCCGGUGUCCCAUGUCUAAAUCAGGCCCUGGUGUCCCAUGUCUAAAUCAGGCCCUGGUGUCCCAUGUCUAAAUCAGGCCCUGGUGUCCCAUGUCUAAAUCAGGCCCUGGUGUCCCAUGUCUAAAUCAGGCCCCGGUGUCCCAUGUCUAAAUCAGGCCCCGGUGUCCCAUGUCUGAAUCAGGCCCCGGUGUCCCAUGUCUAAAUCAGACCCCGGUGUCCCAUUUCUGAAUCAGGCCCUGGUGUCCCAUGUCUGAAUCAGACCCUGGUGUCCCAUGUCUGAAUCAGACCCUGGUGUCCCAUGUCUAAAUCAGACCCUGGUGUCCCAUGUCUAAAUCAGACCCUGGUGUCCCAUGUCUAAAUCAGACCCUGCUGUCCCAUGUCUAAAUCAGGCCCUGGUGUCCCAUGUCUAAAUCAGACCCUGGUGUCCCGUGUCUGAAUCAGGCCCUGGUGUCCCGUGUCUGAAUCAGGCCCUGGUGUCCCGUGUCUAAAUCAGGCCCUGGUGUCCCGUGUCUAAAUCAGGCCCUGGUGUCCCAUGUCUAAAUCAGGCCCUGGUGUCCCAUGUCUAAAUCAGACCCUGGUGUCCCAUGUCUAAAUCAGGCCCUGGUGUCCCAUGUCUAAAUCAGGCCCUGGUGUCCCAUGUCUAAAUCAGGCCCUGGUGUCCCAUGUCUAAAUCAGACCCUGGUGUCCCAUGUCUAAAUCAGACCCUGGUGUCCCGUGUCUGAAUCAGGCCCUGGUGUCCCGUGUCUAAAUCAGGCCCUGGUGUCCCGUGUCUAAAUCAGGCCCUGGUGUCCCAUGUCUAAAUCAGACCCUGGUGUCCCAUGUCUAAAUCAGGCCCUGGUGUCCCAUGUCUAAAUCAGGCCCUGGUGUCCCAUGUCUAAAUCAGGCCCUGGUGUGCCAUGUCUAAAUCAGACCCUGGUGUCCCAUGUCUAAAUCAGGCCCUGGUGUCCCAUGUCUAAAUCAGACCUGGAUUCAAACUGUUCCAGAGUUGAGUUGGAGGGCUCUAUGUCACGGAAAGAGCAGGUGUUCUUAAUGUUUUGUACACUCAGUCUAGAUCUAGAUGUUUAGUUUCCAUGUCUUUCUGUUUAAGUGUUCUGAUGACUUAACCUCUAUGUAAGGAGUGCUCUGCUUCUUUAUUUCACUGAUAAUAACCUUGAUGUGUCUCUCUCUCUAAAUGGUGGAGGGUAUUGGUAGAAGAGAUCACAUGCUUCUAUCUAGCCUUUAUAACUUUGAUAUGUAUUCCUGUUUUUAUUUGACAUACAUAUGCAGUAUUGACUUAGAUUCACACAUACAUAUGCAGUAUUGACUUAGAUUCAUACAUUUCCUACAUUGUAUAAAAUGUGUAAAACCUUUCUCUAACCUUUUUAUAAAACAAGUAGGCUUGUUGAUAGGAUGCCAUGGCAGAGCCUUUUUGAAAUAUACAGCAAGAUGGCCGACGCAGUAAGACUGCCCUGUCCCGGGUCGUGGUUCAUUAGCAGAUGGUCGACGCAGUAAGACUGCCCUGUCCCGGGUCGUGGUUCAUUAGCAGAUGGCCGACGCAGUAAGACUGCCCUGUCCUGGGUCGUGGUUCAUUAGCAGAUGGCCGACGCAGUAAGACUGCCCUGUCCUGGGUCGUGGUUCAUUAGCAGAUGGCCGACGCAGUAAGACUGCCCUGUCCCGGGUCGUGGUUCAUUAGCAGAUGGCCGACGCAGUAAGACUGCCCUGUCCUGGGUCGUGGUUCAUUAGCAGAUGGCCGACGCAGUAAGACUGCCCUGUCCCGGGUCUUGGUUCAUUAGCAGAUGGCCGACGCAGUAAGACUGCCCUGUCCUGGGUCAUGUUCAUUAGGCACCAAACGUUAGAAAACGGACUGAAACGGGGAUGUUCUACCUCCACCUGUCCAGUAUAAAACACUAAUUUUAGUACAAGAACAAACAAACGUUUUAUUUUUUUAUUUAACCUUUAUUUAACUAAGCAAGAACAAAUUCUUAUUUACAAUGACGGCCCACCCCGGUCAAACCCUCCCCUAGCCCGGACGACGCUGGGCCCGGGAUCGAACCCGGGUCUAUAGUGAUGCCUCUAGACCCGCUGCGCCACUAAUGGACCACUAAUGCACCAAUGGACAGAUGGGUUAGAAGUCAAAGAGGAUCUUUCCUAUCAUGUUAUAUCAUGAACAUGUUGAAAGUUCUUUCGCCUCGAGUGUAAAAACCAAAAACCGGUGUGAGACUUAUUGACUUGUUGCUGAGACUGUGUGUUUUUCAGUUUAUAGCAAAAGGAUGUGUCCAUAUUAUUAUGCAACUGAUGAACUUUGUAUGGCUUUUAACUACUUGUGUUAAAUACUAGUCUCCUGACAUGUGGUGAUAUGAUUGGUAGAGCAACGUGUCUCUACUUGUGUCCCAGAUCGGUUAGUCUCCUAGCCUGGUCCCAGAUCGGUUAGUCUCCUAGCCUGGUCCCAGAUCGGUUAGUCUCCUAGCCUGGUCCCAGAUCGGUUAGUCUCCUGGCCUGGUCCCAGAUCGGUUAGUCUCCUGGCCUGGUCCCAGAUCGGUUAGUCUCCUGGCCUGGUCCCAGAUCGGUUAGUCUCCUAGUCUGGUCCCAGAUCGGUUAGUCUCCUAGCCUGGUCCCAGAUCGGUUUGUCUCCUAGCCUGGUCCCAGAUCGGUUAGUCUCCUAGUCUGGUCCCAGAUCGGUUAGUCUCCUAGCCUGGUCCCAGAUCGGUUAGUCUCCUAGUCUGGUCCCAGAUCGGUUAGUCUCCUAGCCUGGUCCCAGAUCGGUUAGUCUCCUAGCCUGGUCCCAGAUCGGUUAGUCUCCUAGUCUGGUCCCAGAUCGGUUAGUCUCCUGGCCUGGUCCCAGAUCGGUUAGUCUCCUAGCCUGGUCCCAGAUCGGUUAGUCUCCUAGCCUGAUCCCAGAUCGGUUAGUCUCCUGGCCUGGUCCCAGAUCGGUUAGUCUCCUGGCCUGGUCCCAGAUCGGUUAGUCUCCUGGCCUGGUCCCAGAUCGGUUAGUCUCCUGGCCUGGUCCCAGAUCAGUGUGUGCUGUCUUGACAAGUGAUCUGGGACCAGGCUAGUGUUCUACACAGGACAAUAAACCUCAUAGUUACACCAGACUGAAUGUUUCAAACAAUGGUGGGCGUAGCGUCCAAUCUGGUUUUAGGCUUAAAAAAACUUUAAGAACUGAGGCUUUUCAGUCAGAACUUAAUCGCCAGGUUUUAUGGUUGCUGUAUUUUUUAUUCAUAGGAAAGACUUAUUUUACAUUAAAAAAUAAAGUAGCAAAUAACCUUUCCAUUUGCCAAGUUUUAUAUCGCUGCUUGUAUAACAUGUACACACUGUAUGGGACUUAACAAACAGUGGAGGAGGACAUUAGUGGUCAUAGUUACCUGUCCGUUUGAAACCUGUUGAUAAAAUGUGCUUCCUACGCUCUGACAUGUACAGCUGUUAACCAAGUUGUGAUAAAGCUUGUAUAAA